GGGGUGUUACAUAGUGGUAUCAGAGCGGGUCUACGUUCCUGUAGACUCGUGCCCAAAAAAAAAUGUUUUGCUUUCAAAAAGGUUUAAGUAAGCUUAAAAGGUUAGAUAAGUCUAGUCAUUCGAAACUCAUGGGCUGCAUCGACUCCAAGGUAUGUGUUUUAAUUUCUUAAGUAUACGACCGUUAGGAUGUUUUACAUGACUUUUUUUUUAUGAUGCCUUUAUGUUCUAGUACUAUUAUGUUUAGCUUCGUUAGAAAUAGUUGAAAUUGUGAAAUUGUUAGAUGGUACGGACACAUCAAACUCCCACUAGAGCUCAAUUACCCUAUAAGCACUAAUUGAGAAAUUGCGCGAAGAAUAUAUGAAAGAUUAAGUGAACGUUGUGAAUUCUUGCGUGUACAAUGCGAGAGAUACGAAAGGAUUAGGAGGCUGCAAUCGGUGUACGACUGCUAUAC
rnacentral:lncRNA from 1 species